rnacentral:rRNA from 1 species
UUGUCCCGGUUUAAGCGUGUAGGUGUGUGUUCCAGGUAAAUCCGGUUCACUUUAACACUGAGGCGUGAUGACGAGGCACUACGGUGCUGAAGCAACAAAUGCCCUGCUUCCAGGAAAAGCCUCUAAGCAUCAGGUAACAUCAAAUCGUACCCCAAACCGACACAGGUGGUCAGGUAGAGAAUACCAAGGCGCUUGAGAGAACUCGGGUGAAGGAACUAGGCAAAAUGGUGCCGUAACUUCGGGAGAAGGCACGCUGACACGUAGGUGAAGUGAUUUACUCAUGGAGCUGAAGUCAGUCGAAGAUACCAGCUGGCUGCAACUGUUUAUUAAAAACACAGCACUGUGCAAACACGAAAGUGGACGUAUACGGUGUGACGCCUGCCCGGUGCCGGAAGGUUAAUUGAUGGGGUCAGCGCAAGCGAAGCUCCUGAUCGAAGCCCCGGUAAACGGCGGCCGUAACUAUAACGGUCCUAAGGUAGCGAAAUUCCUUGUCGGGUAAGUUCCGACCUGCACGAAUGGCGUAAUGAUGGCCAGGCUGUCUCCACCCGAGACUCAGUGAAAUUGAACUCGCUGUGAAGAUGCAGUGUACCCGCGGCAAGACGGAAAGACCCCGUGAACCUUUACUAUAGCUUGACACUGAACAUUGAGCCUUGAUGUGUAGGAUAGGUGGGAGGCUUUGAAGUGUGGACGCCAGUCUGCAUGGAGCCGGCCUUGAAAUACCACCCUUUAAUGUUUGAUGUUCUAACGUGGACCCGUGAUCCGGGUUGCGGACAGUGUCUGGUGGGUAGUUUGACUGGGGCGGUCUCCUCCUAAAGAGUAACGGAGGAGCACGAAGGUUGGCUAAUCCUGGUCGGACAUCAGGAGGUUAGUGCAAUGGCAUAAGCCAGCUUGACUGCGAGCGUGACGGCGCGAGCAGGUGCGAAAGCAGGUCAUAGUGAUCCGGUGGUUCUGAAUGGAAGGGCCAUCGCUCAACGGAUAAAAGGUACUCCGGGGAUAACAGGCUGAUACCGCCCAAGAGUUCAUAUCGACGGCGGUGUUUGGCACCUCGAUGUCGGCUCAUCACAUCCUGGGGCUGAAGUAGGUCCCAAGGGUAUGGCUGUUCGCCAUUUAAAGUGGUACGCGAGCUGGGUUUAGAACGUCGUGAGACAGUUCGGUCCCUAUCUGCCGUGGGCGCUGGAGAACUGAGGGGGGCUGCUCCUAGUACGAGAGGACCGGAGUGGACGCAUCACUGGUGUUCGGGUUGUCAUGCCAAUGGCACUGCCCGGUAGCUAAAUGCGGAAGAGAUAAGUGCUGAAAGCAUCUAAGCACGAAACUUGCCCCGAGAUGAGUUCUCCCUGAGACUUUAGGUCUCCUGAAGGAACGUUGAAGACGACGACGUUGAUAGGCCGGGUGUGUAAGCGCAGCGAUGCGUUGAGCUAACCGGUACUAAUGAACCGUGAGGCUUAACCUUACA